GACGUAGGGCGCGAGCGUUGUCCGGAUUUAUUGGGCGUAAAGAGCUCGUAGGCGGUUUGUCGCGUCUGUCGUGAAAGCCCACGGCUUAACCGUGGGUCUGCGGUGGAUACGGGCAGACUAGAGGCAGGUAGGGGAGAAUGGAAUUCCCGGUGUAGCGGUGAAAUGCGCAGAUAUCGGGAGGAACACCUGAGGCGAAGACGGGCUACUGGGCCGAUACUGACGCUGAUGCGCGAAAGCCAGGGGAGCGAACGGG
rnacentral:rRNA from 1 species